rnacentral:lncRNA from 1 species
GGGAAAGAACACACCUGCCAGUGCAGGUAGAUGUAAGAGACGUGGGUUCCAUUCUUGAGUCAGGCAGAGCCCUGGAGGAGGGCAUGGCAACCCACUCUAGUAUCCUUGUCUGGAGAAUUCCAUGGACAGAGGAGCCUGGCAGGCUGCCGUCUAUAGCGUCACACAGAGUUGGACACGACUGAAACAAAUUAGCACGCAUGCACAUGACCACCUCUUAAAACAGAGUGUGCUUUGCUCGGAGUCUGUUCCCCAGGGAAUCUGGCUUAUGCUAUACAACCUGUGUUAAAAUUGAAAUCAAAUGGAGACCAGUCCUGACGGUUUUCUGAGCAGACAAAACCAAUUUAGUCAUUAAUUUAGCUUAAUUACCAAUUACUGUGACGACGUUGCCGUCUCACUAUAUAAGCCGUUUAUAAUCACAUGUGCUUCUUUUUCCAUGCUCUCAUUUGGGUGCUCUCGGUUUGCAAACCAUUGUUCAGAAUGUGGGCAAUAAUUUUUAUUAGUUGCUGACUAUUGGUUUUAUUAUGAUAUGGCCACUUCUGAACCAAGGAUAUUUAAUCGUGCCUGAAGUGGGGCUCAAAGAAGACAAACCCUGCAACCUCAAGCCAGUGGGCAACCUGGCUGCUGCCUCCCGUGAGCCCUUUCUGCCUCUGUCUUCCCGCCAAGCGCAGAGUCCCUGUUUGGAUGAGUAACUGUUUCGUACUGUGGAGAGUACAGAGCCACUGCGUGCCACUGUGGCACACACAUCCCGAAUUCCCAAGUAUCUCCCGAGUCAGGAAACUGGAAAAUGAAGAAAACAAAAAAGAACUCCCAGGAAAUACCUUGAUGUUAACCAUCUUACAGUAAGGUUGUCAGGUGAGUUAGUUUCUCUUUUCACCUACUGAAAUUUUUCCCUGAAAUUCUCUCAAUGAUAUCCUCCCACACUCUAAAAACAGUGUUCAUUUCUGACUGAAAAAUCACAAACCUUUAUUAAAUUCAGACAGCUUUUGAGGUUGUAGGGCAAGCAGAGUAGAAAGGCACUUCCCUGAGACCUGGACAGUGUUGCUCAUUAGAGUGGACAUCUAGGUUAGGAAUGGUGCCACGUCAGUUGAGUGCCAGACCUCAAGAGUAUUGCAUGCAUCAGUUCAGUUCAGUCGCUCAGUCGUGUCCGACUCUUUGGGACCCCAUGGACUGCAGCACGCCAGGCUUCCCUGUCCAUCACCAACU